UUUGAACAUAUUUUUGAAAAAGAUAAAGACCUGUUAAGUGAUUGUAACUCUAGUUACCGCAACAUGAUUUUUACACAAUCAAAAAAAAAAGUUGACCAUAUUGUUUCCUUUUGUAUAAUGAAAGAGGGAUAGACCUUGUAGGAUGUUACUCAUAAAAAAAAACAUUUAAAAGUUUAAGAGUUAAACAGCAACAAAAAUUGUAAUCGGCUACAACAAACUAGCGUUAUAAUAAUAAAGUAAAACUUAAAUACUAAAAACCUAUUUAAACGAAUAGUAUCGAUAACAUUAAACCGAGACUUAGCAUUUGUAUUAGGCAUUCAUCACUAACAGAAAAAAAACACUUGACUAUUAACAAUUAAUUUUAUCAACAAUCCUCUUUGAGCUAACAGCUAAAUAGUAAAAUAAUAUGGGCUCCCGAAAGUUUCACAAAAACCUUUCCCUUUAAAUAAAGGGUACACCCUGCUAAAAAAAAAAGAAGUAGCAUAAUUAAUUGCCACAUGAUUGGUGGAGUGUUUGAACGGGCACACGAGGGGCCUUCUUUAAAUCUUUACUAUUUCUCAAUAAAAAAAUAUUAAAGGUGAAAAUACCUAUAAAAUAAAGAAAGGCGAUAAGACCCUAAAAGCUCUAAUUUAGUUGUUGGGGCAACAAGAAGCAUAACACUUCUUUACCCUAUUUAUAUAAACAGUUACUUUAGGGAUAACAGCGUAAUAUCUAUUAUCAAGACCGUAUUAAUAAUAGAGAGUACGACCUCGAUGUUGAACUAAAGGAAAGCUAGUGUAUCUUCUAGCCUCUAUCGUCUGUUCGCCGAUCUCCCUUUACGUGAUUUGAGUUCAAACCGGCGUGAGCCAGGUUGGUUUCUACCUUCUUUUUUAACUUUAUAUGGUAGUACGAAAGGAAACUAUGUUAAUUACACUCUAAGUUAUGCUUAAUGUUUUCUUGUCGAGAAAAAGAACUUCUAAUUCUGCUAAUAUAGUUUUUAAAAAUAUUUUUCUUGUAAAAAAAAGUGA
rnacentral:rRNA from 1 species